rnacentral:lncRNA from 1 species
CAAUGGCGGCGGAGAGCUUCCUGUUCACCUCGGAGUCCGUGAACGAGGGGCACCCAGACAAGCUGUGCGACCAGGUGUCGGACGCGGUGCUGGACGCCUGCCUGGCGCAGGACCCCGACAGCAAGGUGGCCUGCGAGACCUGCACCAAGACGAACAUGGUGAUGGUGUUCGGCGAGAUCACCACCAAGGCGAGCGUGGACUACGAGAAGAUCGUGCGCGACACCUGCCGCGAGAUCGGGUUCACCUCCGACGACGUGGGGCUCGACGCCGACCGCUGCAAGGUGCUGGUGAACAUCGAGCAGCAGUCCCCCG